UGACCUCGGAUCAGGUAGGGAUACCCGCUGAACUUAAGCAUAUCAAUAAGCGGA
rnacentral:rRNA from 9 species